rnacentral:tRNA from 1 species
GCAGCUUUGGUCUAGAGGUAUGAUUCUUGCUUAGGGUGCAAGAGGUCCCAGGUUCGAUCCCUGGAAGCUGCC